rnacentral:lncRNA from 1 species
GGCUAUAAAGCAUUCCAAGUUUUUUGCGGUGGUGGUGGUGGUGGUAGUGGUGAUGGCGGCAUUUUAAGUAGUACUUAUAGGGAAAACAGGAGACAAUAUAAAUCCCAAUGUGGCCUCUACCUAGAAGUAUAUGAGAAAUAACAGCACUGUUGGGGAACUAGUCCUACUAAGCCAAGCUCAGAGAAUUUGGCAGUGUUUUUUUUUUUUUUAAAGUUUAAUGCACUAUCAAUUAAACACACACAGAACUGAAGAUAAAUUUGAUGUUGUAACAGCUCUUUUUAAAAACCUCAAUUACCUUAAAAAAAGUAGAUAGUUUCAGAAAUGCAUCUAUGGCAUUAUAACCAAGGGAGAGGGAAGGGUAUUCCAACCAUGUUGUGAGUGUACAAUGCAAACAUUUUUAUAAUCCCUUUUUGGAAUUUUAAUAUUGGCCGACAAAUAUCAACUAGCUUUGAGAGGAACCUAAUAAUACAACUGUGAAGAAAAUUUAAACAUAUGUUCUUUUUCUCCUCUCCUGGCACAAAACCUCACAUUUGACAAUGAAGAAGUAUUCAUAGGGCCCUUCAGGAGUACUGGCUAGAUUCGCUGGCAGAGACCCAUGCUCUCCCUAAAGGGGUUUUCUUCUGCUUGCCGAUCCCGCAUUGCAUUCGGGUUUCAGACAGUACAAACAGAGCCACGUGUAAUAUGACAACUUUGCUCUAUUAAUACUGCAAAAAUAAACAAAAGGAAAAGGUUUUCCCGUAAGACCUUUCAGCACUGAGUUCAUUCGCUCAUUUAUAAAUGUUUACCAAAAGUUCCUAUUGUGUUGAAGGUGAGGUGCUAGGAACUGAGUCUCCUAUUCUUGCAAAUUUCUCUGUCACAGCUUCAUAAAAAUCCACAUAAACGAUAAAGAAAUGCCAGAGGGUCCAAGUGCAGAGGUUAUCACAGGCUUUAAAUCAAGACAGCUUUGGCUUUGGCUUUUUCGCCACUCAUUAGCCAGUGGUCUAAGGCACGUUAUUCAACUGUUCUAUGCUCUAUUUCCUUUUCUAUGAAAUGGGGUAAUACAAUAGUCUCUCUCAAAAAGAAUAUGUGGUGAAGAUUAAUAAAAUAAUGUAUUUUCAGAUAGUGCCGGUCACAUAGCAAAUGGUAAGUGAUAGCUGCCUGUGGCCAACAUGACAGAGAUGUGUCUACUUUGUCAUUCAUCACACUUAAGGGAGGACUUAAGUAGAGACCUCUCACAGGUUAGGCCAGGAAAACACAGAAACAACAAAAAGAGACUGUCUUCUUGGAGCCUGCAGUCUGAUAUAAUAGAUUCUAAACAAUUACUUGUUCAUAAUGGGGUAAGUGUCACAAAAGUUUCUAUUAUUUUUCCUCACAGAUUUACUGGGGUAUAAUCUACACACAAUAAACUGUAUAUAAAGUGCACAGUGUAAUGGGAUCUCACAGAAGUAUAAUGCUGUGAACCACUGCCAGAAUCAAGAGAAUGAAUAUAUCUACCAUCCACAAAAUUCCCUUGUACCCAUCUGUGAUCCCUUCUUUCCCAAACCAAUAGCCCUCAGUCACCAAUCCACCUUGACUCAGUAGAGUUUAUUAGGUGCUUCUCUAGAAUUCUAUACAAAAGGAAUCAGACAGUAUGUGCUCUUUUUAUCGGGCUUAUUUCACUCAGCGCAAUUAUUCUGAGAUUCAUCCCUGUUAUAUCAAUAAUUUUAAAACACUGUGGACAAAAGCAUCAUUUCUCUGGUCCAACACACGAACCUAUACCUUUUGCUUCAUUUAUCAUCCCUCCCACUAAACUCACCCCUACAAACCUGGAGUACAAACAAAUCUAGAAUUAACUACUUUUCUAAGAAUCUGCUUCCCAAAUGUGGCAAACUAAAUACUAUUUCCCUAUUAGUCAACACUUCACAUAUUCUUAGAAUAUUUCAUACUGACCACUAUUAUUGUCAGUACAGAAAGAUAAAUGUUUUGUGCUGCUCACAUCAAGCAAACAAAACCAAGAUGAGUAAUCUUGAGUCAAUCAUCAAAGCAGACUUUCAGGAUCACUUUGUAUACAUAUACACAUUACCAUUUUUUAAAAAACACUACAAAAUGAGAGGCACAUCUGUGUGGCUUGUGAUAAGAUGGUGGGAAUUUUUUGAGAAACUGUUCUACAGAUGUUCUAGCAUCUAAAAUAGUGUCCCUAUGAAGACUGACAAUUUUCCAGCUGAGUGGUCAAGUAAACUGCUCAAAGGCAUGAGCUUCUGGUAGAGAACCAGUUGCAGAUGGCAAGCAAGCAAUUCCCUUUACCAGACUAUUAGGUAACUUCAGGAGAUCUAAAAAUUGGAUUAAAAUUUCUUUCAUACCAACAUCAAAUUUCUUCUAUUUCUUACUAGGACAGUAUCUUGAGAGGAGAUGACAGAUAUCACGCACCAAGUACAAUGGUUGGCACACAGUAGGUAUCCCAACAAAGCACAGCCAUUAGAAUAACAUCCUGGUAAAAGACCGGCCCAAGACAAUGUCUAUAUGACGUUGUCACAUUAGAAGCUUCCUUAGAGAAACGGGUCUCUUCCUUAACUUCAGGGAAUCUCACAUUAUCAGUCGUUCAUCAAAAUUGCCCUUCUCCUAAUGUAUUCAUCCCCAAGCUAGUUACCAAAUAUUUACUAAGUGUUUAGUAUGUGCCCAGCACUGAACAUGGCUAUUUUAAGGAUAAGAUGGGCCUGACUCUGUCUUUGUUGAAUAUUCUAAGUUGCUUUCGCUAAAAUAUAAGAGACUGGCACAGGCACAAGCACACAUGUAGGCUUUGUCCUGUUUCAAAUCCAUCUCCUAGUAGAGCUAAGUUUGAGAUUCUUGAAAAUGGGGUGUCCAUCAAAAUGUGACAUCACAGAAGCAUCACCCAGUGUCCCUUAAUUACCCUCACAAGAGCCUUAUAUUUCAAUUGCUAGGUGCCCUUCAACUCAAACAUAUUUUGAGAACUUGAAAUAACUGCCAGAGUAGUGGCUACCGUCCAUUCAUUGUGUACCUACUACACACCAUGCUCUGCUAUGUCCAAUUCUACAGGCAACUGGCUGAGAAUAUUAAUCACUCAGAGGAGGGCAUAAACAAGCCUUUCUCUAGCAACAAAAUGAGAUACCUGUUAUUCUGACUGCUGUGUUAAGUCAUGUAUCUGAAAGCUGACGAUGAUACUGUGUUUGCUAUUGAAGACCCAGAAAGCAGACAGAUCAGAGAAGUAUAACCACAACACAAGCAAACCACUUGAAAACAACUUGUACUUUUGCUGAUUGUGCGGCUGCAUCCUAACCAAAAACAUACAGUGAAAUUAUAUUGCCGAUAAAAGGUUUACGUUCUCAGGCAUAGAUUAAAUGGAGCAUUUGCCAAAACCUGCUAACACUGCUUACGUGAUUUUUAAAUGGUUAACAGAGACCGUACACAAACAGCAUCAAAUGGGUCACUUGAGAGAAAAUCAUACACACACACACACACACACACACACACACACGCCAGAUGAAAUUCGAGAAUCAAAUGCUGACACCCAAAAGGCAUGCUGGUUAAGCGACAGCGGCAGAUGAAAAUAUUUCAAAGCCAGAUACAUUUCCUGUUGAAAAUUCCUUACAUUCCAUGACUAAAUCCUAAAGGCCACAGGCAGCACUGCAGUCUCCAAUUCUAAUUGUGCUGAUGCACAGAAAGGGUCCUGCUGUCAGCAGAAGCCCCAGACUAGUGCAGGUUGCAGUCUUCAGGCAAAAUAAAAGUGUCUGGGAGGCAAUUCACACGUUUUCAAAGAAAGCUGAUGACUGUGACCUUGAGCCCCUCCUAAAGGUACAUUCUUCUUUAAAGUCUUCCCAGGGCCCUUUAGCCUCCUCACGAGAUACAACAAGAAUUCAUUUUUUUAAGAUUGUAAUUCUGCAGUAAGAUGAAGCUGCCUUGAUACCUUUGAGGUCCUCAAGGCGACCACAAAUAUUUACAGAGUACAAACGCACUUGGCUUUCAAAGUGCUCAAACUCUGUUGUAACCUGUAAUUUACAUUUUGGCUAAGAAUCCCUAGAACAUCUAUACCGUCUAUAUUUUAAUUGAGAAUGCCCUAUUUAUUGGCUCUUAAAUUCUCUAAAGAGGUGGGGAGGAGGAGGGUUGCUGAGAAUUUGCAAAAAAAAAAAAAAAAAGGAAAACAAAAAAAAAAGGCACCUGAGCAAGUAAAAUAUUUGUACGGAACACAACACUGAAUCACCAUUAACACCUACUGCCUGCCUGUGCGAUCUCAUUAACAAAUAAUCCUUUUUCAAGUGGAGCUACUGCCAGGUUUUUGGACAUGCAAUGCUGGAUAUCUUGGUAAUUCUCAUGCCAGAGAGAGGUCAGUAGGAUUAUAAUGAGGUAGCGGUGUUGCAGUUAAUCUGCAGCCUGUAAAGGAAACUAGAACGUGUAACUCAGAUUCUACCUAGGACUACCCAGUUCUCACGUGAAACAUUUUAAGAAUCCCAAGGUAGAUUCAAGCACUAUAGCUUCUGAACGGAUUGAGUGACCUGUGUAUUUGUUGAAGUUGACCUCGAAUGGUGAUACAGCCAUUAUUUAUGAUUGCUUAUGCUUCUUCACCGUACUUUGCAUCUGAUUGAGAAGGAAACAAUUCAAAGAACCAAACUGACAUCAAGGAAAAUUUAUACCGUUCCUUCAGAUUGUACGUGCGUGGGCAGGCAUGCACCAUGAUCCACAUGCACUCACGAUGCAAGCAAGCACCGCUGCCCCAAAUCAUACACCUAAACCUUAUCCUUCCAUAUUCUGAACAAUUCUGAACUACACUGAUUCAGUUUAGAUACAAGUAGUUUGUCUCAUUUAAAUAAUGGAGUAAUAUUAUUCAAAAACGAGUUCCAACAAUGCCUUGUAACAAAGUCUUCACUGAGGUUAAUGAUGCCUACUUACACCUUUGGAAUAUUGAUGAGAGGCAGAAGUGUCCAGGAAGAACUUGGUAUAAAAUAAAAUAAAAUCAGGUGCCAAAACAUGGUCAAUCCCCUUUGCCCUAUCUUGUACCACUGAGAAUUAACCAGAUGAGCCAUUUGGAAUGUUGAUUCUCAAAAGAAUAUACCUUGAUAUCAGAAAACUGACAAUUUUGUGUUUUACCUUUUAAACCUGACAAGGUUUCCUGUUUUCUAUCUUAGCUUCAAGAGAAAAAAUAGCUAAGUAUAAUUCCCACAUGCCUUAAGAGCACUGAGAUCUAGUCAACAAAAAUAGUUUUAAUUAACAGACAAAUGUGUGGUUUAGUUGGUAGGAAAUUUACUUAAAACUGUUUUAGGGAAAUGCUUGGAGAAUAGUCGUAUAAACAUUAUUAGAAUUUUUUUAAGUAUUUCUAUAAUACAGCCUUCCAUAUCUAGGCAGAUCUUGGCAGAGACAGAUGGCCUAAGCCUCUAUUUAACAAUGAAUGAUUAUUAAAAGCAAAGUAAAAAAGCCAAGAUACUAUUUAAUCCUUCACAAAUAGACAUCAAUAAAGCUGUGAGGUCACAGAGUAUUUUUAUGCUUAUAACCCUAAAGGAAGUAUUCCUCCUUGUUUGGCUGUGUACAGGUAACAUCAUCACUUUUUGCAAAUCCAACGCAGAUACUAAUUUUAUUAGAUGUUCUACACAGUAGUUUUUACCCAGAAAACAUAGUCCAGCUGAUUUCUCAUUCCAUAAUCAAGCAUCUACUAAGUAUUAGGGGACACACACAGGAGUAAAGCUGUCAUUAGACGUUAAAGGAUUUGAAUUUAAUGUUUUAGCUCAUUCACUGAUUUCUUCAAGGCCUUAUCAGGAGAAAACUCUGAGACAACACACCCCAUCCAGAUAAAUCUUCCCUUAAGGAUCAGUCAUACAAGCCUAGAGCUCAGACUCUUUUGCCUUUCGUCACUACACUCAAAGUUCCCUUGGCCCCACAGAGUAAACCUGGCACCAGUUCCAUGAUCAGCAGGAUAUGGCCUAGCUAGUGCCAAAAUACUGCAUGCAUUCAAGCACCAGUGACCUUAAAUGGAGGUCAUUAUCACCAUCUCCCACCGUUUUUUGACAGUUGGCUGCUGUUCUCUGAAUGUCAGAUAGAACCCACUAAAUUCUACUGAAUCAUUCAACUUGUGGAUAAAGGUUGAUCAGGGGUAUGGUAGGUAAAGACUUCUCAGUGCUUAAGAAAAAAAAAAAAAAGCAAAAGAAACCCAAGAAGAUGUCAAUGCCUUCCUCUUCUUAAAACAAAUGGGUUAAGAAGGAUUCAGAAACCCUAGUGAUAGAUUUAUUUGCCAAGUCUGUUUUAAGGUACUUUUCCUCUUUAACCAGCAAUCUGGAUGAGUAAGUUAAGAAUAAGAUGAAUGCAUGCAAAAACACAAUAGAGGAGGUUUAAGAUUAAACAGAAAUUUGUUUCCUUAGAUUCGAGGCCCAAUGAUCAUUGCAUCAGUUCAACCAGCAAAGGCUGAAGAAUGUACUUUGUCCCCUAAUAGGAAAGGCUGAGAACCUGGACUCUUCUGUCCUACAGCUUUCAUGGGGGCCUGAACCAAAUGAUCUCGGGACCGCUUUUAAUUUUGAAUAUAUCCAUGAUCCUUCUCAGUGGAAUUUCAGGUAUGCUCAUUCUUACUCUGGCAGUGAGUGUGUCACGGCCUCAAAAUGUACAAAUCCUUAAAUAUCUGCUUCUAUAAACUCUUUUCCAAGGCCAAGUUUUCCUUUCAAAAGUGUUCCUAACAUUUACAUUACAUCCAUCAUUAAGUCUCCUUUAUACUUGAAAUCCUCCCAAUUAGCAUUCUCUUGUAUCUUCCUUUUACUCCUUCUUUCUCUUUUUAAGCAAACAUUUGCUUAAAUCAACUCCUUCCUAUAUUCCCCACAGAAAUACCUGGACAUGGUCUGAUAGAAGCACAUCUGUCAUGGCCAUAAAUGUCACAAUUUAAAAAGUCCCCCAUGCAUUUUCCAUAGGAAAGUAAAAUAUAAAGAAGAAGAAGAAGAAGAAAAAAAAGACUUUUUUACUUAAUUUGUCUGAUAGGGACCAGACCCCUUCUGGUAAUAUCCUACUCCUGACAUAGUGUCUGGGUAUCUAUGAUGCUCCUAGAACUGUCAGUACUGUACUUAAAUCAUUGACAAUUUCACAUCCCAAUUCUGUUUCACAUUUGGCAGCGUGUCUCCCUCUACUCUUGAAAAUUUUAAAGAGCAUCGCAAACCAAUCCAUUAAUAUACUACAUACAUAAUACACGUCCAAAGUAGUAAAAUAACCACUUUAGACUUUAUAAUAUCAAUGUUGACAUGUACCUACUUUAUAACAGUUUCAUUAGUAUUUAUUUAACUGUACCUGCCUUCUAAUUUGGAAAAGAGAAAGGAAAACAAUGGUAAAAAUUAAAUUCCUCAUCAGUUUUCAACUAUAGCAAUUUGUAGCCUGUUUACAGAAAAACUUGACAGGCUCGAUCUCUAUUACUCUGCAAAACAUGCUAAUAGGUUCAGUGUAUUCCAAACAAUCACACAUGUGGACUUCCCUAAUAUGUCCAUGCAGAACUUGUCCUACCAGCUGAGUUGCAUGUGUACCAUAAGUUCACUGGGUUUGUUCCAAGCCUGUUUAUUCCAGUUUUGUUAAUGUAAUUUCAAAAUGUAACUAAACAGUAUGUAAACACAGGAUACCAUGUAAAUCAGUGAAUAGCAGUAUAAAAAAAGUUAUUUUUUUUUAGAUUUUUUAUUUAGAAAGUGUGCAUGCAUGCAUGUGUGUGUGAAGGAGCAGCUGGGAGGUGCAGGGGAGAGAGGGAGAGAGAGAAUCCCAAGCAGACUACAUUGAGCACGGAGCCUGAUGCAGGGCUCAAUCUGACCACCAUGAAAUCAUGACCUGGGCCGAAAUCAAGAGUUGGACACUCUACCAACUGAGCCACCCAGGUACCCUUGUUUUGUCAUUUCUAUAGAAUUUAAGCAGAAUGUUUGAAAGGAGUUCAUAAUGAUGAGUCAUUUAAAAAUUAUCACUGAAUAGGUUGUAGGUUAAAGAACUGAAGAGUUGGGCAGCCUGGGUGGCUCAGCAGUUUAGCGAAACCUUCAGCCCAGGGUGUGAUCCUGGAGACCCAGGAUCAAGUCCCACAUCGGGCUCCCUGCAUGGAGCCUGCUUCUCCCUCUGCCUGUGUCUCUGCCGAUCUCUCUCUCUCUCUCUCUCUCUCUGUAUUUCAUGAAUAAAUGAAUAAAUAAAUAAAAUCUUAAAAAAAAAAAAAGAACUGAAGAGUUUAGGGGGAAGUUUAGUAAAAGCCUAGAAGGAUUGUGCACAGAGAUGGCUGCACAAUGUCUUUAAAUUACUACUCCAAGCAGAUAUGGAUUGGAGAUCAUACAGAUUGCAUGGUGGGUACAGUUUAUGCAAGA